UUUUAAAAAAAAAGUUGGCUUUAUUCACUUUUAUUUUCGAAUAGGAUAGCACACACUUUUGCUUCGCUAUACUUUCAUAUUGAAAGAUAAGGAAAUUUUUAUCAAAAGAAUUUGAAUUUAAAUUUAAGAUACAUUUAUAAAUAUUCAACAGCAAACACAAUUAAUCAAUCGCCAGGAGAUAUUAACAAAUAUUUAAAAGUUUCAAAACAAAUAUUCACGUGACGAAAUAACAGUACACAAGUUUUGGAAAGCUAUUUUAUUACACUAUUGUACAACAUUUAUAUUUUCCUAUAAAUACUUUAAUAUAACGGCUAACUAGGAUU